UACUCGAGUGGCGAACGGGUGAGUAACACGUGGGUGAUCUGCCCUGCACUUCGGGAUAAGCUUGGGAAACUGGGUCUAGUACCGGAUAGGAGCCAUCUUUAGUGUGGUGGUUGGAAAGUUUUUUCGGUGUAGGAUGAGCUCGCGGCCUAUCAGCUUGUUGUGGGGUAAUGGCCUACCAAGGCGGCGACGGGUAGCCGGCCUGAGAGGGUGUACGGCCACAUUGGGACUGAGAUACGGCCCAG
rnacentral:rRNA from 1 species